rnacentral:rRNA from 1 species
UUCUUUUUCCACCGGAGCUUGCUCCACCGGAAAAAGAAGAGUGGCGAACGGGUGAGUAACACGUGGGUAACCUGCCCAUCAGAAGGGGAUAACACUUGGAAACAGGUGCUAAUACCGUAUAACAAUCGAAACCGCAUGGUUUUGAUUUGAAAGGCGCUUUCGGGUGUCGCUGAUGGAUGGACCCGCGGUGCAUUAGCUAGUUGGUGAGGUAACGGCUCACCAAGGCCACGAUGCAUAGCCGACCUGAGAGGGUGAUCGGCCACAUUGGGACUGAGACACGGCCCAAACUCCUACGGGAGGCAGCAGUAGGGAAUCUUCGGCAAUGGACGAAAGUCUGACCGAGCAACGCCGCGUGAGUGAAGAAGGUUUUCGGAUCGUAAAACUCUGUUGUUAGAGAAGAACAAGGAUGAGAGUAACUGUUCAUCCCUUGACGGUAUCUAACCAGAAAGCCACGGCUAACUACGUGCCAGCAGCCGCGGUAAUACGUAGGUGGCAAGCGUUGUCCGGAUUUAUUGGGCGUAAAGCGAGCGCAGGCGGUUUCUUAAGUCUGAUGUGAAAGCCCCCGGCUCAACCGGGGAGGGUCAUUGGAAACUGGGAGACUUGAGUGCAGAAGAGGAGAGUGGAAUUCCAUGUGUAG